GACAGAGGGGGCAAGCGUUGCUCGGAAUCACUGGGCGUAAAGGGCGCGUAGGCGGGAUGGCAAGUCGGUCGUGAAAUCCUUCGGCUCAACCGAAGAACGUCGGCCGAUACUGCCGUUCUUGAGGGAUGCAGAGGAGAUUGGAAUUCCCGGUGUAGCGGUGAAAUGUGUAGAGAUCGGGAGGAACACCGGUGGCGAAGGCGGCGACCUGGUCCGUGACUGACGCUGAGGCGCGAAAGCGUGGGGAGCAAACCGG
rnacentral:rRNA from 1 species